AUUUCUGUGGUCAGUGGUCAGUAUCGGCCCUUUCUCGCCUCCCCCCUCCCACUCCUGUGUGUACUGGAAUGGUAGCGUUGCUGGGUGGCAUCACAGUCACACGUUACACUGAGUACGUGUAUUAUUGAUUGAGACCAAUUUGUCACCACUAGUUCUGCGUGGGAUUGUAAACCAACGCUUGGAGAAUGUGACGACAACAACGACAAAAAAGUAGAGGAAUUCAUUCCUUGUGUUUAAAAACCGAAAUAUAUUACAUCAGAUUUCACCUCACCAAAGGAGCUUGUCCUGUACCGUCAUUCUGCAGCCGAAGUUUGGCGACAAUAAAAACAUGGCGUCCCUUUGGGGCUGUUUUCCCAUAAUGCUACUGGUGUCCUUCCUGGCUUUGUGUACUGGAAAUGGAGGGGAAAGCGGUGGAGCCGUUUCUAGAUGUUAUGAGAGAGUUUUCAAAAUGUUUGCUUCAAAACCAUUCAGAACAUCUAGUGGAAUCGAACUUCCUUGUAAAGAUAUGAUUCCUGUGAGGUCAUGCUGGGGUCGCUGUGACUCUAGCGAGAUUCCAGACUACCGGAUUCCUUACAAGAUCAGUAACCAUUCUGUAUGUACGUACGGGGGUCUGAGGGAACGGACUUUGACCCUCACACACUGUCAUCCUCUACAUCCAGACCCUACCUACACCGUUUAUGACGCCACUCAUUGUGUUUGUGGAUCAUGUGACUCAGAAUUCACCAGUUGUGAAAACUUAAAUGGUUGAAUUAUAAAAAAAAAGGUUUUAAUACCGUUUUUAUUACUGUUCGCGAAUGACCGUGUGUUAGAAUUUGGUACAAUGUCACUGCUGAGGAACUGAAAACAAUGCUUGGAGACUGUUAUUUGUCUUGUGAAAUAUGAGAUUUCGUGUGUGCGUGCAAUAUCUGAAUAUGAAUAUUUUCCACUUAUAUAGAUAGUUACAUUGUUUAAUUUCUCAUAGCAGUUGACGUCUGUGAGUCGAAUCAGCAUUCUUUGAAUGUAUGAAUGUUAAUUUUCGUCAUUGCCAAAUCAGAACAUAUUCAAUUUCAAUCCUAUUCUGAGGUUUUAUUAUCAGCGAGCGGUAUAAGUCCUUGCCACUAAAUCCGCCGUCACAAUACAACACAUGCCGUGUUUAAGUAAUGCAGAGUUAUCUGGUCAUGUAAGCAGAUAUUGCUACGUCAUUUGUUUGUGAUGUUAACGUCAUCACUUUGUGAGAAAACGACGUAAUUUUCUCGUGCACACUAAUAACGCAACCAUCAAAUAGCUGGACGUAAGAGCAGAUAACACUGUAUUACGAAAGGUGAGAAUACCUUUUUUGAAAUGUGGCAUUUAAUAUGACGUUUAAACUGUUACAAAAAUGCCAUGUUCACUCUUCUUCUGUUACACUUUUGAAUAAGAGAUCACAUUCGUCUGUAAUGAAAUGAAAUAGCAGAUCUGGAAAUUGUACCAGGCCGAAUUUAACACUACGUGUAUUUGCUCUAUUGCAUUGCAAAGGAAACAGACUCUUUCGAAAGCUCGCAGCCAGUGUCUUCAAUCUUUAAAAUUAUGUUCAUUUAAAACUGAUGAAUCAGUUCCUGAAUGUUUAAAGACAAGACGGAGAGAAUUAACAAAUGAGUGAUUAUCAGGAUAAGUAGAAGAUUCUGAUUCCAGGUGUAUCGAAUAAUGCAAAGAAACUUUCUCCAAACGCUUCACAGUCUUGUUAAUAAUAUCUAACUGUUUAACUUACAAAUGUUAUAAACAUUUGUUUUCUAACAUAUUUUGUUGAAAAAAUAGUACAGUAGAUAUAGAUACCCAGACUAUUGGGUAAAACAUACUUUCCAAAUACAAGUCCAUUAUUCAAAUAUGUUUUUGUAUUUGUUUGAAACCAAUUAAUUACAAAUAUUAAAGAUAUUAAACGAAGGAGAAAAGA